rnacentral:tRNA from 1 species
GCCACGGUGGUCUAGCGGUUACAACGCUGGCCUUGUAAUCCUGGGGUCUCGGGUUCGAUUCCCGGCGGUGUCC